CCCUUAGAUGUCCGGGGCCGCACGCGCGCUACACUGAAGGAAUCAGCGUGGCUUUCUCCCUGACCCGAAAGGGUUGGGAAACCCGUUGAAUCUCCUUCGUGAUAGGGAUUGGGGCUUGAAAUUGUUCCCCAUGAACGAGGAAUUCCCAGUAAGCGCGAGUCAUAAGCUCGCGUUGAUUACGUCCCUGCCCUUUGUACACACCGCCCGUCGCUCCUACCGAUUGAAUGUUCCGGUGAGCUCUUCGGACUGCGCGGUCUGCAGUUUCUGCGUUCCGUGCGGAAAGUUGCGCAAACCUUAACAUUUAGAGGAAGGAGAAGUCGGAACA
rnacentral:rRNA from 1 species